rnacentral:rRNA from 1 species
UACGUAGGUGGCAAGCGUUGUCCGGAUUUAUUGGGUUUAAAGGGUGCGCAGGCGGGAGAUUAAGUCGGCGGUGAAAUUUUGCAGCUCAACUGUAAAAGUGCCUUCGAAACUGGUUUCCUUGAGUGUAGAUGAAGUAGGCGGAAUUUGUGGUGUAGCGGUGAAAUGCAUAGAUAUCACGAGGAACUCCGAUUGCGCAGGCAGCUUACUAAACUACUACUGACGCUCAGGCACGAAGGCGUGGGGAUCAAACAGGAUUAGAUACCCCUGUA